AUUGAACGCUGGCGGCAGGCCUAACACAUGCAAGUCGAACGAGUGGCGGACGGGUGAGUAAUGUCUGGGAAACUGCCUGAUGGCGGGGGAUAACUACUGGAAACGGUAGCUAAUACCGCAUACCAUCAGAUGUGCCCCGAUGGGAUUAGCUUGUUGGUGGGGUAACGGCUCACCAAGGCGACGAUCCCUAGCUGGUCUGCGAGGAUGACAAGCGAGACUGGAACUGAGACACGGUCCAGACUCCGACGAGAGGCAGCGGAGGGGAAUAUGGCACAAUGGGCGCAAGCCGGAUACAGCCAUACCGCGUGUAUGAAGAAGGCGUUCGGGUUGUAAAGUACGUAAAGCGGGGAGGCGUUACCCGCAGAAGAAGCACCGGCUAACUCCGUGCCAGCAGCCGCGGUAAUUC
rnacentral:rRNA from 1 species